rnacentral:misc_RNA from 1 species
GAUGAAGAACGUAGCGAAAUGCGAUACUUGGUGUGAAUUGCAGAAUCCCGUGAACCAUCGAGUCUUUGAACGCAAGUUGCGCCCGAAGCCAUUAGGCCGAGGGCACGCCUGCCUGGGCGUCACACGUCGUUGCCCCCCCAUCUACUCCUUCGGGAUUGCGGGGGGCGGAUGAUGGCCUCUCGUGCGCCUCGUCGCGCGGUUGGCCUAAAUGCCAAGUCCUCGGCGACGCACGCCACGACAAUCGGUGGUUGCGAAACCUCGGUUGCCUGUCGUGUGCGGUCGUCGCGCAUCGAGGGCUCGAAAAAAUUGCCGGGCUUCGGCUCGACUUUCAACGCGACCCCAGGUCAGGCGGGGUUACCCGCUGAAUUUAAGCAUAUCAAUAAGCGGAG